rnacentral:rRNA from 1 species
UAGGGAAUAUUGGGCAAUGGACGAGAGUCUGACCCAGCCAUGCCGCGUGCAGGAAGAAGGCCUUCUGGGUUGUAAACUGCUUUUAUCAGGGAAGAAAACGCUCCUGCGGGAGUAACUGACGGUACCUGAGGAAUAAGCACCGGCUAACUCCGUGCCAGCAGCCGCGGUAAUACGGAGGGUGCAAGCGUUGUCCGGAUUUAUUGGGUUUAAAGGGUGCGUAGGCGGCCUUUUAAGUCAGUGGUGAAAGCCAACAGCUCAACUGUUGAACUGCCAUUGAUACUGAAAGGCUUGAGUACAGACGAGGUAGGCGGAAUUGAAGAUGUAGCGGUGAAAUGCAUAGAUAUCUUCAAGAACACCGAUUGCGUAGGCAGCUUACUAGGCUGUAACUGACGCUGAGGCACGAAAGCGUGGGGAGCGAACAGG